ACCAUCAAAGACCAGAGCACCUCUCCUCCUUCAAGGCAUCACAACUCCUCAACAACACAGGAUCACAACUUGACCGAGGAGUGCAACGAAUUGACGGAAACACGCUUCAGAAGGUGGCUAAUGACAAACAUUUCUGAGCUAAAGGAACAUGCUCUAACUCAAAGCAAAGCAA